GGAAGGAUAGAGGUGAAAAGGCGGCGGCGCGAGUGGUCCACAGCGCUUCCGGCCAGCGAGCCACGAGGGCGGCAUCUCCACCUGAGAAUGGCGUUUGGUCGUCCAGGUAGGCUUCACAAGAGUUGAGUUGGAGCCUACUGUUGUGUUUGCUUCUGUGAGAAGAAAUCCAGUUUGGUUGCAGUCCUUGGGAAAUCCUAAUUAGCGUCGGCUCAAUAAAUUUCAAAGGAAAUAAGACAAAAAGUUCAGGUUUGGGAGGUUUAAAAAAUCACUGCAAACCUGGUUUAGAAGGGUGUCUUUUCCUUUAAGUUGACUUAAGUAGGCAACAAUCAUAUAUACAAGUCGAUCGCAUAUAUUGAUCUCAAAAGCAAAGCAACGGCAAGGCUGAACCUCAUGGAGUGACCGCUUGAAGCCAAGAAGACUUGGGUGCACCUUGAUGUAAGUUCAGUCCAAUCACUUAGAAUAAGUUCAGUCCAAUCACUUAGAAUAAGUUCAGUCCAAUCACUUGGAAUAGCAUUUUGUCUGUGUUAGUUUCACAACAAAAGAUAAACAUGCAAUGUGCCUCCUAGAGAUCUCAUGCCAUAUUGAUGUGCACACACCUGCUUAAGCACUAAAAUUGGAGACAUUUGAAUUGAAUGAUAUAGCAGAAAAGGGAGGAAAGAUUCAGAAAUCUUUUUUUAGAAUUCUUCCUUCCCUUAAGAGAUUUCAGUUAAUUGUGAAUGUGUCACAUUUCAUUGGUAUGCAGAAAUCAUCACUCAUUCACAUCUUUAUGUAACACAUUCUAUUGUCAAACUAUGGUAAAUAGGUCCACUAUAAUUUCAAUACUGAAAAUCUAUUCAGGUUCAAAUUUCCUAUGACAUUUGUUUUCUAAUGUUUAGCUUGCUGGUAUUUCCAUUCACCAGUUCAUGUACAUGAUGUACGUUGUCUACCUUGAAGUUUCUUCAACAUACUGUAUCACACUUCUUGCACGUACAUAUAGGUAGGUUUUGCUCUGUAAGCUUUUAGAUUCCAAGUCUAUUUGCUACUUUUGUAUAUAUCAUUAACUAUCAACCAACUUAUUUGAGGACUAUAAGUUUGUAAUUAGAUAAUUUACUAUAUAUAUUUGGGAAGAAUUGUCUUAAAAAAUUAGAUCACAUAGUGUUUUGUAGAACACUGCUGCAGUUGGAAGCUGAUUCAUUCUUCAGUAGACGUGUUCUUCAAAAACUGAUCUGGAUAUGAUUCUUAGUAUGUCAUGUUUCAUGAACCAAUUUGUGUCUUUAUUUCAUAAGAAACUUGGAUUUCGUUAUAAUUACUUGAAUCAUACUGCAGACAGACAAUUAGAUUGUAUCCAAAGCUUGCUUGCUAUCUAAAAAUCGUCUAUUGUUAGCUCAAUGUCACUUUGCUUAUACAUAGACAGAUGGAAAUGUUGGAAUUUAAUUUUUACAACUGUAUAUUUUAUUUUCAUGUUAAUUUUUGUGUCAUAAAGUCAUUUCUGAGUGCAUACUCGUGUCUGCAACUACAGUUUUGUUUAAGAGAUUUCUUCAAUGUUAGACACAUCAUUUAUGUUGUUUCACAUAAUUGCAUUUCAUGUACUGAAAGGCUUUAAGAUACUAUCAUACUUUUGGUGUAAACAUCAUUCAAUUUUUGGUCAAAGUAAGUUCUCUCUCAAAAAAUGUGAUGAACCUUUGGUGUGAGUGUUCUAGCAUAGCCAAUCGUUACUAUGUAAUGAAUGGAUGAUGCUAUACUAUGAAAAAAAAAGUUAAAUUUGUCGUAAAAAACAUUAAGGACACAACUAUGUUGACUGUUUACCACACUGAUGCAUCGACUUGCACAUUAAAAUCGAAGCAAUGUUACUAGACUGCAUGUCUCUUCCCUCCCUCCGUGUCUUCUUCUGCUCUUAAUUUUUUCAGGUGGGUGUUACUCAGUUUGGUCGACAUGUUCUCUUUUAGUAUCACUAGGAAAAUGAUCAUGAUAUUUGCAUCUAUUUCAGGUGACUUUUCUGUCACACAAGCUUUCCGUUUUUCCUUUUUUUUGGUUAAAUGUAGUUUUCUGAAAGCAAUUGGAAUAGAGUUGGAUAUGAAAGGCACAUUGUAUGGAAAAUUUGUUUACACAUUGACUGACCGGAGCAUGUAGAAUUUACUCAUAUUAUUUUUUUGCGGGGAAAUUUAAUCAUAUCAUUAAAUUUGAAAUAUUAUGGAAGCCAAUUUUAUCACCGAGUAGCCACUAAAGUGGAUAUAACGCUGCUUAUUCCUUUGUAUGGAAAGCGGUGGCCGGUCUGCCAAUUCAGUAAACAUUAGCUCCACCUUUUUUUGGAAGGUUGACACAGAGAAAUCAUACAGUCAUACACUAUUGAAAAGGUAAUAUGGCACUCCUUCUGAUCUCUCAAUUAAGCUCCUUAUUUAUCUAGGCUGGGCACGGAAUAUGUCAUCUUACAUUCAUGCAAAUCACGAAGUAUUAUUAUUUUUAGAUAAGCUAUAUUCAAGUUGCUCCAUGUGGUAGGAUAUUAGAGUAGUUCAUGCUAUUGAAGUGGUAUUUGCAUGUUAGCACAUGUGUUUCCAGCCUCACAGGCAAUUUGGUCAUGUGGACACUCCCCCGUAACCUGACAGUUAUUGUUUCCGAACUAUCAAAGUAAGAUAAUUGGUUGCAGAACAAGCUCAUUUCCAGCCCUUCAAUGGUUUUAGCUGUGUUUGGUUCAUAUAGGCUUGGUAAAGGUAGUCAUGCUGGGAAGUCCUUCGCAUUUGUUGACAAGUAUGGACAGUGGGGACAACUUACCUACGGAAUACUUGGCUAAUCAUUUUCCUUUUAUAAUUCUUUUUUAUGUUAGAUAUGACACAUGUACUAUUGCACCAAAUACGAUUGUUGUGGAAACACCAUUUUGUGCUUGGGAAGCUCAGCUAUGUAACCUGGCAAAUUUAUUUCUCCCCACAAGGCAUAGUUUGUUAUCUAGGCGGAGGCAAAUUAAUUACUUCACUUGCUCUUAUUUUUUGUUUGUGAUCUCAAAUGGUUACAUACCAUAUGUAGGCUGCACUUGGAUACCUCAUAGCCAGAGAGUUCAAAAUAUUAUUUUAAAUAGGUCUUAUGAACUCGAUAUCACUCAAAUCAGUUAUAUUCCUUUAAUAUGUGUUAUGAUUAACAAAGCAAAUUGAGAAAUGCAUGUUUUUGUUUCUUCGAUUUUGGCACAGUGAAAUUUUAUCUCUAAGCUGAUAUUAUCACAAUUCUUCUCCUUUGCAAUGUCGCUGGUUCUGCUCAUGCACUGCCAUCCAAUGCAGGUAUUCUCAGGAAUCACAAGCGGCAGAAUUUUAUUUCAAGGUUCUAUGAUCCUGCAAAUACCACAAAGGGUCGGAUUGACUGUAAAAUUAGUGGGGCGCCAUCUAUUGUAGCUUAUUUGCCAACUCAAUAGUCUUCUUAAACUAGCUUAGUAGUUGAUUUCACUAGGAUUUUACAUUUUGUACCGUAUGAUAUUAAUCUUUAUUAGGGAGUACCCAUUCAUGCUUUCCAAUUAUUCCUUGUGUUUUACUUUUUGACUUUCGACUAAUCCUUAGAUGCCUUAUAUUUUGGGAGGAAGGGAGUAGUAUCCGGUCCAACUUCUCUUGGUCAACAAAAUUUGGUUUCAUAAUUAUAGGAAUUGGUUCCAUAGCCAACGUUGGACUCAAUGGAGCUAUUUUACAAAUAUUAUCCCAUGGAUUUAUUGGAGCUAUACUUUUUUUUUCUUGGCAGGAACGGCUUCUAAUAGAUGUAGUGAUUUGCGGAGUGUGCCUUUUAGUUUUGUGGUUUAGGUGUCAAGCCCUCGACAUUUGUAGAUGGCCAUCUUGCUAAGAUGUCUAGGGAUCGUCACUUCAAAGGUUUGUGGCAAGGUUCUUCUCUCAUUGUUUUUCUUUGUUGUUGGAUUGCCCCUUGUCUGUUUUAUUGGGGUUCUUUGUUUCAGUUUUCUUGGUGCAGCUGCGCCCGCCACCUCACACACGAAGUCAAACGGAACCUACGAGAUCCGGUGAGGAUAGCAUGAGUAUUUCGUGAGCACAUUGGCGGUGACUUCCCUCAGAAAAUCCAGCUCGGAAACACCGCUGGAGAUGUCUAGCGCGUGGAGCUCGUGGAGUGGAGGGGCCGUGUCUACGUCGACUAUGGCUAGGAAAGCUUUGCUGACACAAACGGAGUGGCUCAAGGAAAUGCCCUGAUCUUCACCUGCAUCAGCGACUACGGCCGUGAUGGAUGCGAGAGGACAGCGGAAGACAUCCAGUAGGUCGCCUUCUCAAAGAGGUGAACUGCAAGAAGUGAAGCGUUGUUGAUAGGGUGACCUCUUUCAUUUGCUUAUUGUUAUGUUGAACUGGUGUCGUUACUAAGCAUCCUAGACGCUGUCAAGCCAACCUGAGUGGUGUGCCGGUGGUUGGGGUCUGCUGUCAAUAUUAAUGACAUAAGGUUAUCACAUAAAUUGGUUCUUCAUUCAUCCCUAACUUUUUGUACCCACAUAAAACCUUUGCUCUCUCUACCAGUACAUAGCAUCCAACAAAUCAUGGAUGCUAUGUUUUUUAUUGGGUCUUUCGUUGAUCUUCAUGUUGCACUUUCGUUUUAUUUGAGGCAGAAGAAACUUUAGCUCUAGCGCUCACUGCAAUCAAUUAGAAAGCUAGGUAGCAACCUUCA